GAGAUGUUGGGUUAAGUCCCGCAACGAGCGCAACCCUUGAUCUUAGUUGCCAGCAUUCAGUUGGGCACUCUAAGAUGACUGCCGGUGACAAACCGGAGGAAGGUGGGGAUGACGUCAAAUCAUCAUGCCCCUUAUGACCUGGGCUACACACGUGCUACAAUGGACGGUACAAAGGGCUGCAAGACCGCGAGGUUUAGCCAAUCCCAUAAAACCGUUCUCAGUUCGGAUUGUAGGCUGCAACUCGCCUACAUGAAGCUGGAAUCGCUAGUAA
rnacentral:rRNA from 1 species